GAGAGAGACAGAGAACCACCAACAGGACGCUUUGCCAUCUCUGCUUCUCUGUCAUACAGGACUCCAUCCUUCUCAUGUCACUGCUGUGUUGAAAUGGUUCUCGCUGAACACACCCCGUCUCCCCUGCGAGAGGGACUGACUCCCUUAUGAGAAGAGGAGGAGACACCGAGUGUGUGGCAAGCAGUGGGAACGCGGCCGUCUGCAAGCCAGGAAGAGAGCUCUCACCAGAAACCAGCUCCACCAGCAC